UUAGAGUUGAUCCUGGCUCACGACGAACGCUGGCGGCGCGCCUAACACAUGCAAGUCGAACGAGCGAGAGAGAGCUUGCUUUCUCAAGCGAGUGGCGAACGGGCGAGUAACGCGUGAGGAACCUGCCUCAAAGAGGGGGACAACAGUUGGAAACGACUGCUAAUACCGCAUAAGCCCACAGCUCGGCAUCGAGCAGAGGGAAAAGGAGCAAUCCGCUUUGAGAUGGCCUCGCGUCCGAUUAGCUGGUUGGUGAGGUAAUGGCCCACCAAGGCGACGAUCGGUAGCCGGACUGAGAGGUUGAACGGCCACAUUGGGACUGAGACACGGCCCAGACUCCUACGGGAGGCAGCAGUGGGGAAUAUUGCACAAUGGGGGAAACCCUGAUGCAGCGACGCCGCGUGGAGGAAGAAGGUCUUCGGAUUGUAAACUCCUGUUGUUGAGGAAGAUAAUGACGGUACUCAACAAGGAAGUGACGGCUAACUACGUGCCAGCAGCCGCGGUAAAACGUAGGUCACAAGCGUUGUCCGGAAUUACUGGGUGUAAAGGGAGCGCAGGCGGGAAGACAAGUUGGAAGUGAAAUCUAUGGGCUCAACCCAUAAACUGCUUUCAAAACUGUUUUUCUUGAGUAGUGCAGAGGUAGGCGGAAUUCCCGGUGUAGCGGUGGAAUGCGUAGAUAUCGGGAGGAACACCAGUGGCGAAGGCGGCCUACUGGGCACCAACUGACGCUGAGGCUCGAAAGUGUGGGUAGCAAACAGGAUUAGAUACCCUGGUAGUCCACACCGUAAACGAUGAUUACUAGGUGUUGGAGGAUUGACCCCUUCAGUGCCGCAGUUAACACAAUAAGUAAUCCACCUGGGGAGUACGACCGCAAGGUUGAAACUCAAAGGAAUUGACGGGGGCCCGCACAAGCAGUGGAGUAUGUGGUUUAAUUCGACGCAACGCGAAGAACCUUACCAAGUCUUGACAUCCCUUGACGAUGCUGGAAACAGUGUUUCUCUUCGGAGCAAGGAGACAGGUGGUGCAUGGUUGUCGUCAGCUCGUGUCGUGAGAUGUUGGGUUAAGUCCCGCAACGAGCGCAACCCUUACUGUCAGUUACUACGCAAGAGGACUCUGGCAGGACUGCCGUUGACAAAACGGAGGAAGGUGGGGAUGACGUCAAAUCAUCAUGCCCUUUAUGACUUGGGCUACACACGUACUACAAUGGCGUUAAACAAAGAGAAGCAAGACCGCGAGGUGGAGCAAAACUCAGAAACAACGUCCCAGUUCGGACUGCAGGCUGCAACUCGCCUGCACGAAGUCGGAAUUGCUAGUAAUCGUGGAUCAGCAUGCCACGGUGAAUACGUUCCNCGGGCCCUUGUACACACCGCCCGUC
rnacentral:rRNA from 1 species